rnacentral:rRNA from 1 species
UACGUAGGGGGCAAGCGUUGUCCGGAUUUAUUGGGCGUAAAGAGCGUGUAGGCGGCCAGGUAGGUCAGCUGUGAAAACUCGAGGCUCAACCUCGAGAUGUCGGCUGAAACCAUCUGGCUAGAGUCCGGAAGAGGAGAAUGGAAUUCCAGGUGUAGCGGUGAAAUGCGUAGAUAUCUGGAGGAAUACCGGUGGCGAAGGCGGCAUCCUGGACCGAGAUUGACACUGAUGAGCGAAAGCCAGGGGAGCAAACGGG